GUUACCGCCGGACGGGAGGGGUCGUGAGGGUUGGGGAACCCGAUGACCGAGUCCUUGCCGAGACGGCCGAGGGUCUUAGGGAGCCCGAGGUCGGUCGCUCUGGCGAAGGAG
rfam:Actinomyces sp. oral taxon 414 strain F0588, complete genome.